rnacentral:tmRNA from 1 species
CAGUUGCAAAUGACAACCGUGCUCCGGUAGCAGUUGCUGCGUAAGCAGUAACCAAACCGAAACUUAAGCCCUUGCGCUUAGCCGCGUAAGGCGGGGUUCGCAGGCACCUGGCAACAGAAGCCUGCACU